UUGUCAAUUUGUCAUUCAUUGUCAUUGGUUUCAACAUCGAACGGAAGUGGGAAUAAAUAAUUUUCUGUGUUUUUGGAAUAAAUCCAACGUUUUUCUUUGUGUUUUUGGAAUCAAUCCAACGCCAUAUCAAAUGUGGAUAAGAAGGAGAUGUCCUUACUAUUCCAGUGUGUUUAACGAUGACACAAUCAGACAACACACAGACACAAAGGACUCGCAGUAGAUGCUGCUGCCGAAGCCAGCAGAUUACGAAGCACACAUUUAUGAUGUUUUUGGCUGUGGUAUAUUUAUGGGCCUCACCACAAUGGUUUCUUAAUUGGCAUUACAGACUUUAUGAGAAGUCAUGUCUUUUCAAGAAAAAGGACUUAGUCAACAAGAUUCAUUGUUUGCUAACUCGUCGGGUGCCGUUGAAUCUCCCCUUUACUUCCUUAUCUCCCCUUUACUUCCUUACACAGGCCCUCUGGAUUGGAGGGUAAUUCCUUCGUGAACUUCAUCCAUUGCUAAAAACCAACGAGAUCAUGCUGUAAUUCAAGACCGAUAAUUUGUCUAGUUAGCUAAAUUACAAGUGCAUAUCUGGG